AAUGAGUGUUUAAAUGGCCGCAGUAUUUUGCCCUGUGCAAAGGUAGCAUAAUCAUUAGUUUCUUAAUUAGAAGCUGGAAUGAAUGGUUUGAUGAGAAAUUAACUGUCUCUAGUUAAUUAAGUUAGAAUUUGAAUUUUAAGUGAGAAUGCUUAAAUUUUUUAAAAGACGAGAAGACCCUAUAGAGUUUGAUUGUUUAGAUUUUUAAUAUAUUAGGAAGGUUUUAUGUAAUUUAAGAAUUUAAGUGAUUUUGUUGGGGUGACAUGAAAAUUGAAUUAACUUUUUUGUUUAAAUACACUAAUUGGUGAGUUAUUGAUCCUGAUUUCUGGAUUAUAAGAUUAAAUUACCUUAGGGAUAACAGCGUAAUUUUUCUUGAAAGUUCAUAUUUAUAGAGAAGUUUGCGACCUCGAUGUUGGAUUAAAAUUAAUUUUUGGUGUAGCAGCUGGAAAAUUG
rnacentral:rRNA from 1 species